UAUUUCUUGAUAAAUUUGAUGAAGAUGUUCUAACAAUAAAAAUAUUAUUUUUGUGUCAUAGGGUACUAUCGCGGCAAUUAUGAUUUUGAUAAUUGGCAAAAACUUGCGAACCAUUUGUACUUUGAAAGUUGUAUCGAUAUUCAUGUUCUGAAUCGAGCCCAAAUCAUCGAUGACGCGUUUUAUUUUUUCACGCAAGGACAACUCAAUUUCACCAUGUUUUGGGAUAUUACAAGCUUUCUAGUUAAAGACACAAACUAUAUAGCAUGGUACCCUAUGAUUAAAGCUAUUGAAUACAUGACGUGUGUUUGAGCAGUUCAAGAUACUUCAACUAUAAAGAACAAAAUUAAUCAAAUGUUCCAUAAACUUCUGCUAAAUAUAAGAUACGAUGACAAAUUUGAUAAAAGUAAUUUUACUAAAUAUUUAAGAGAAGAAGCGGUAAAAUGGGCAUGUGUUCUCGGUAGUUAUAAAUGUAGACAAACAGCCGCCUUUCGAUUAAAAAAACAUCUAGAAAAUUCCAUACAAGACAAAUUUUUCAAAUGGAGAGAAUGGUUAGACUGUAAAGGUUAAUGACAGCAAACUACACUACUUGGACUAAAAUACUGCUGUGGCUUAUAUCGAAUAUAACAUACGACAAUAUAUAUUCAGAAUACUUAACUUGCUAUACAAAUCCUUGUACUAUUCGAAGUUAUUUAACAGUAACAGUAAAUGGAUUUUAUUCUAGUGUGACAAACAAUCAAACAAUUGCUAAUAUUGUUCUCCUUAUUGUUGCGAAACAUUCAAACAAUGAUGCAGUGCUCAAUUAUAUAUUAAACAGUUUUGAAUUGUUCCAAUUCAACAUAAAAAAGCCAAUUGACCAAAUUGCCAUAUUAAUUGUUAUUAUAACGCACGAACAUGACGUAAAACAAUUAAAAAAGGUAUAUUUUCUUAUAUGCAUAUAAUAUUCUCAUUACUUGACCCUUUCAUGUUGAACUUAUUUAUGUUUAAUUCGUCACAUAUGUGAUGUAUCUGAUCCAAAUGCAUUUAACGCAGCAAUUUAUCAUUUUUUUAUCUCUAAUAAGAGACAAACUUAUAUUUAUUAAUAUCAUCCGUUAUAUUAUCAAAUAAUCUGUUUUAGGUAAGUGAAUUCGUUCAAAAUAAUCUUGCAAGGAUUGGAAAACAACUAAUUGAUGCUGUUCAACAAAAAAUAAAGAAACGAAUAUUGGAAUACAGAAGACGAUCAAGAAACUACGGGCGCCUAUGAGCGCGUACCGUAUGAGAAACAAAUAGACAAACAAUUGAAUCCAUGAGAAUAAUUUUACUUGUUGCUCACAUGCAUUCGUAUAUUUAUUAUUUUUAUA